rnacentral:rRNA from 1 species
CCUACGGGAGGCAGCAGUGGGGAAUAUUGGACAAUGGGGGCAACCCUGAUCCAGCCAUGCCGCGUGUGUGAAGAAGGCCCUCGGGUUGUAAAGCACUUUCAGUGAGGAAGAACGCCUGGUGGUUAAUACCCAUCAGGAAAGACAUCACUCACAGAAGAAGCACCGGCUAACUCCGUGCCAGCAGCCGCGGUAAUACGGAGGGUGCGAGCGUUAAUCGGAGUUACUGGGCGUAAAGCGCGCGUAGGUGGCUUGAUAAGCCGGUUGUGAAAGCCCCGGGCUCAACCUGGGAACGGCAUCCGGAACUGUCAAGCUAGAGUGCAGGAGAGGAAGGUAGAAUUCCCGGUGUAGCGGUGAAAUGCGUAGAGAUCGGGAGGAAUACCAGUGGCGAAGGCGGCCUUCUGGACUGACACUGACACUGAGGUGCGAAAGCGUGGGUAGCAAACAGGAUUAGAUACCCCAGUAGUC